GGAGGAUCCAAGCGUUAUCCGGAAUCAUUGGGUUUAAAGGGUCCGUAGGCGGUUUAGUAAGUCAGUGGUGAAAGCCCAUCGCUCAACGGUGGAACGGCCAUUGAUACUGCUAGACUUGAAUUAUAGGAAGUAACUAGAAUAUGUAGUGUAGCGGUGAAAUGCUUAGAGAUUACAUGGAAUACCAAUUGCGAAGGCAGGUUACUACUAAUGGAUUGACGCUGAUGGACGAAAGCGUGGGUAGCGAACAGGAUUAGAUACCCUGGUAGUCCACGCCGUAAACGAUGGAUACUAGCUGUUGGGAGCAAUCUCAGUGGCUAAGCGAAAGUGAUAAGUAUCCCACCUGGGGAGUACGGGCGCAAGCCUG
rnacentral:rRNA from 1 species